UACGUAGGGGUGCAAGCGUUAAUCGGAAUUACUGGGCGUAAAGGCGUGCGCAGGCGGUGAUGUAAGACAGUUGUGAAAUCCCCCGGGCUCAACCUGGGAACUGCAUCUGUGACUGCAUCGCUGGAGUGCGGGCGAGAGGGGGAUGGAAUUCCGCGUGUAGCAGUGAAAUGCGCAGAUAUCGAGGAAGAACACCCGUGGCGAAGGCGGCUCCUGUGGAACGCAACUGACGCUGAGACGCGAAAGCCGUGGGGAGCAAACAGG
rnacentral:rRNA from 1 species